rnacentral:rRNA from 1 species
ACGGGUGAGUAAUGCUUAGGAAUCUGCCCAGUAGUGGGGGACAACAGUCGGAAACGGCUGCUAAUACCGCAUACGCCCUACGGGGGAAAGCAGGGGAUCUUCGGACCUUGCGCUAUUGGAUGAGCCUAAGUCGGAUUAGCUAGUUGGUGGGGUAAAGGCCUACCAAGGCGACGAUCCGUAGCUGGUCUGAGAGGAUGAUCAGCAACAUCGGGACUGAGACACGGCCCGAACUCCUACGGUAGGCAGCAGUGGGGAAUAUUGGACAAUGGGGGCAACCCUGAUCCAGCCAUGCCGCGUGUGUGAAGAAGGCUUUCGGGUUGUAAAGCACUUUCAGCGAGGAGGAAGGCCUUAAAGUUAAUACCUUUAAGGAUUGACGUUACUCGCAGAAGAAGCACCGGCUAACUCCGUGCCAGCAGCCGCGGUAAUACGGAGGGUGCAAGCGUUAAUCGGAAUUACUGGGCGUAAAGCGCGCGUAGGUGGUUUGGUAAGCGAGAUGUGAAAGCCCCGGGCUUAACCUGGGAACGGCAUUUCGAACUGUCAGACUAGAGUGUGGUAGAGGGUAGUGGAAUUUCCUGUGUA